AUGGCCCAGAAGCACCCCAGAGAAAGAGAGUUGUGUAGAGCCCACCAGAGUGGUGGUGCCUCCCUCAGGGCUUUAGGACCCUCCGUGGACCCUGAAACACCUUCAUUCUCAGGACUUACAGACUCAGCAGGGACUGCUCCUAAUGGCACCCGCUGCCUCACAGAGCACUCUGGUCCUAAGUACACACAGCACCCAAACCCAGCUCAUUGGUUGGACCCAAGACAUGGCCCCCCAAGGGGUCCAGGACCACCUAGAGAGGCAGAGGACCCUGACCAGAGUGAGACAUCUUCAGAAGAAGAGUCAGGAGUGGACCAGGAACUCUUAAAAGAAAACGAGGCUGGGUACCAGGAGGAUGGGAACCCUUCUUUUCUUUCCAUUCCAUCUGCUUGCAGCUGCCAGGGAACACCUAGAAUUCCAGAAGGGCCUUACUCUGAGGGAGGAAAUGGCUCUUCUAGCAACUCUUGCCACCUCUAUGCCUCUCCAGCCUUGGGGGAAGAUGAAGAGUUGGAAGAGGAAUAUGAUGAUGAAGAAUCUCUUAAGUUCCCCAGUGAUUUUUCACGUGUGUCCAGCGGAAAGAAAGCCCUAUUCCGGAGACAGCGGCACCACUUUCCAACGAAGGCGGAUACUCGGGAGGGUGGACGUAGGGAUCCCAGGUCCCCUGGUCAACAUCGACUGGGCCAGAAAUGAAGUCAGGCAGAUAAGCGCAGAGGCCUGGGAUUGUGGGGAGCUGAGGAACUAUGUCAACUUGGACAGGCAGGCUUUUCGUGGCUGAUUGAACUGCUGGUGUUGGUGGGAGAGUAUGUAGAAACUUUAAUUCAGUGGGGUUGGCUGGAGUUGCCUUGGGUCAAGCAGAAUACUAAUAGGCAGGGGAAUGCACCUGUAGCUACUGGGCGCUACUGCCAGCCUGAAGAGGAAGUGGUUCGACUCUUGACCUUGGCUGGGGUUCCUGAGGAUGAGUUAAACCCUUUCCAUGUACUAGGCUUUGAGGCCACAGCAUCAGACGCUGAACUGAAGAAGGCCUAUAGACAGCUGGCAGUGAUGGUUCAUCCCGACAAAAAUCAUCACCCCCGGGCUGAGGAGGCCUUCAAGGUUUUUCGCGCAGUUUGGGACAUUGUCAGCAAUGCUGAAAAGCAGAAGGAAUAUGAGAUGAAAGGAACGGCAAAGAAUCAGCUGAGCCGGUCAGUAAACGAAUUUCUGUCCAAGCUGCAAGAUGACCUCAAGGAGGCAGUGAAUACUUUGAUGUGUGGCUGAUGCCAAGGAAAGCAUAGGAGGUUUGAGGUGGACCAGGAACCUAAGAGUGCCAGAUACUAUGCUGCGUGUGAUAGGCUGCGUCCCGCUGAGGAAGGAGACUUUUGGGCAGAGUCAAGCUUGUUGGGCCUCAAGAUCACCUACUUAGCACUGAUGGAUGGAAAGGUGUAUGACAACACACAGUGGGCUGGAGGCCAGCGUCGUAGAUAUUUCCCCAGACCCACAGAGUCCCCUCACAUCUCUCAUUUGGUUCUCGGAUUCCAGGCACCAGAGGGCGGCAGAGAGCCACCCCGGACACCCCUCCUGCUGAUCUUCAGGAUUUCUUGAGUCAGAUCUUUCAAGUACACCGAGGGCAGACGCCCAGUGGGAACUUCUUUGCAGCUCCUCAGCCUGCCCCCGGAGCCACUGCAGCCUCUAAGCCCAACCGCACAGUACCCAAGGGAGAAACGAAACCGAAGCGGCGGACGAAAGUGAGGAGGCCCUUCCAACAUUGAAGGCCCCUUCUCUUUCCUCAAAACAAUGUCAGGGAGUGGAAAGGACUGUGUACAGCGCAGGAUGGAGUUUGAUUUCUCCCUCCUCCCCCAACAC